ACGGCGAGUGAAGCGGCAACAGCUCAAAUUUGAAAUCUGGCUCCUUUGGGGUCCGAGUUGUAAUUUGCAGAGGGAGCUUUUGGCGUCGGUCGUGGUCUAAGUUCCUUGGAACAGGACGUCACAGAGGGUGAGAAUCCCGUACGUGGCCGCCGGCCUUCGCCUUGUAAAGCCCCUUCGACGAGUCGAGUUGUUUGGGAAUGCAGCUCUAAAUGGGAGGUAAAUUUCUUCUAAAGCUAAAUACCCGCCAGAGACCGAUAGCGCACAAGUAGAGUGAUCGAAAGAUGAAAAGCACUUUGGAAAGAGAGUGAAAAAGCACGUGAAAUUGUUGAAAGGGAAGCGCUUGCGGCCAGACGUGCCCGCGGUUGAUCAUCCAGGCUCCAGCCUGGUGCACUCCUCCGCGGGCAGGCCAGCAUCAGUUCGGGCGGUCGGAUAAAGGCCUCUAUCACGUACCACCCCUCGGGGUGGCCUUAUAGGGGAGGCGCAACACGGCCAGCCCGGACUGAGGUUCCGCGCAUCUGCUAGGAUGCUGGCGUAAUGGCAGCAAGCGGCCCGUCUUGAAACACGGACCAAGGAGUCUAACAUCUAUGCGAGUGUUUGGGUGUCAAGCCCGAGCGCGCAAUGAAAGUGAACGGAGGUGGGAACCCUUACCGGUGCACCAUCGACCGAUCCUGAUGUCUUCGGAUGGAUUUGAGUAAGAGCAUAGCUGUUGGGACCCGAAAGAUGGUGAACUAUGCCUGAAUAGGGUGAAGCCAGAGGAAACUCUGGUGGAGGCUCGCAGCGGUUCUGACGUGCAAAUCGAUCGUCAAAUUUGGGCAUAGGGGCGAAAGACUAAUCG
rnacentral:rRNA from 1 species